rnacentral:lncRNA from 1 species
UGAGAGAGCGCUGGUAAUGUUGACCUCUUUCCUGAAAGGGAUGCUUCCACCUUACAUUAUAUAGAAGGUCGGUGAGUCAUGCAGGAGUUGGCAAUUGCUACUACGUGAAAAUAGAGUUGCCACUUUCUAUGAGUUAAUUAAUGUUUUCCUUUGGAAGGUUUAUUUGCUUAAUAAUGAUAUAAUAUGUACAUGUAUCCGGUAGAUUUGAAGAAGGUCCUUGUCCUUUGAGUGGGCGUGUAUUUCUUGUUGGAUGACUUUAUGAUAUAACUUUGAAUAAAGAUAACUACGGUUUGGUGGUUACG